rnacentral:sRNA from 1 species
GGCCCUUGCUCUGCACGGAGCCGGCGCUUUGGCAGUUCCUUUUAAGGAAAGGUGGUAGUUAAGACUUUGUAAAGGCCAGGGAACUAGCUACGAUUCUCUCAGCGGUCUCUCUUCUCCUGAAGUUUGAAAUGCUUUAUCUCAUCGGCUUGGGCCUGGGAGAUGCCAAGGACAUCACAGUCAAGGGCCUGGAAGUUGUUAGACGCUGCAGUCGCGUGUAUCUGGAAGCCUACACCUCAGUCCUGACUGUAGGGCAGGAAGCUUUGGUAGGUGCUGAGCGUUCCCCAGCCUCCUGGGAAGAAAGCUAUCUAACAUCUGAUUUUCAUACACUAAGCUGAACAGAAUUUUCAGGUCUGCUUGUUUAAACCCUUUGAAACGCAUCCCUUGUUCAUUAAUGAUCUGAGGAGCAGAAGAAUGGAAAUUAUACACCAACCAAGUGACUUGGAAAAUGAAAGGGUGCUUUGUCCUAUUUUACAAGUCUAAUUUUGUGGCUUUCUCCAGUAAAUAGGAAAGCUGUUUUAUACUCUUGGGGGAUAGUUAUCAAAACCCCUUAUUUCAUGAGGUAGUCAAGAAAUCCUUUCUGAGUUGAGUGUUAAUGAGGUGCU